rnacentral:rRNA from 1 species
GAUGAACGCUAGCUACAGGCUUAACACAUGCAAGUCGAGGGGAAACGGCAUUGAGUGCUUGCACUCUUUGGACGUCGACCGGCGCACGGGUGAGUAACGCGUAUCCAACCUUCCCAUUACUGUGGGAUAACCUGCCGAAAGGCAGACUAAUACCGCAUAGUCUUCGAUGACGGCAUCAGAUUUGAAGUAAAGAUUUAUCGGUAAUGGAUGGGGAUGCGUCUGAUUAGCUUGUUGGCGGGGUAACGGCCCACCAAGGCGACGAUCAGUAGGGGUUCUGAGAGGAAGGUCCCCCACAUUGGAACUGAGACACGGUCCAAACUCCUACGGGAGGCAGCAGUGAGGAAUAUUGGUCAAUGGACGGAAGUCUGAACCAGCCAAGUAGCGUGCAGGAUGACGGCCCUAUGGGUUGUAAACUGCUUUUGGAUGGGGAUAAAGUUAGGGACGGGUCCCUAUUUGCAGGUACCAUACGAAUAAGGACCGGCUAAUUCCGUG